UACGAAGGGGGCGAGCGUUGUUCGGAUUUACUGGGCGUAAAGGGCGCGCAGGCGGUUCUGUUGGUCGAGGGUGAAAGCCCCGGGCUCAACCUGGGAACUGCGCUCGAAACGGCGGAACUAGAGCUCGGGAGAGGAGAGUGGAAUUCCCAGUGUAGAGGUGAAAUUCGUAGAUAUCGGGAGGAACACCUGUGGCGAAAGCGGCUCACUGGACCACAACUGACGCUGAGGCGCGAAAGCUAGGGGAGCAAACAGG
rnacentral:rRNA from 1 species